UCCAGUGCCCAGGACAUCUGAAAGGCCCUGCUGGCCCCACACAUCUCACACCACGGGCUUACUGCAUGGCUGCUUCUCCACGACCAAACCCACCAGGAGCUGGUUCAGGGAGGACUCAGGGCCAACUCCUGCUACAGACAGCGCCUGGGAGAACAGUGGGAGCUGCUGCCACUUCAGCCUGGGAAACUGGAAGGAAGAUGGGAAAUACCUGCCUGCCGUCCUCUUCACGACCCCACCCCAGUUCACCGAAUGAGCAAAUCAGGUUGCCAAGACACUAGAAAAUGCUGGAAGACAGGGAGCAGAGGAAGCAAGGCUCAGA
rnacentral:lncRNA from 1 species